rnacentral:piRNA from 1 species
UGAAACUCAAAAUGAAAGGGUUCCAGGUU